AUUGCCUCAGUAACGGCGAGUGAAGCGGCAACAGCUCAAAUUUGAAAUCUGGCCCCAGGUCCGAGUUGUAAUUUGCAGAGGAUGCUUUUGGCGCGGUGCCUUCCGAGUUCCCUGGAACGGGACGCCACAGAGGGUGAGAGCCCCGUCUGGUUGGACACCAAGCCUAUGUAAAGCUCCUUCGACGAGUCGAGUAGUUUGGGAAUGCUGCUCUAAAUGGGAGGUACAUGCCUUCUAAAGCUAAAUACCGGCCAGAGACCGAUAGCGCACAAGUAGAGUGAUCGAAAGAUGAAAAGCACUUUGGAAAGAGAGUUAAAAAGCACGUGAAAUUGUUAAAAGGGAAGCGUUUAUGACCAGACGUGGGCCGGUUAAUCAUCCAGCGUUCUCGCUGGUGCACUUUGCCGGUCCAGGCCAGCAUCAGUUCGCCGCGGGGGACAAAGGCGUCGGGAAUGUGGCUCCUCGGAGUGUUAUAGCCCUUCGCGCAAUACCCUGGGGCGGACUGAGGUUCGCGCUCUGCAAGGAUGCUGGCGUAAUGGUCAUCAACGACCCGUCUUGAAACACGGACCAAGGAGUCGUCUUCGUAUGCGAGUGUUCGGGUGUAAAACCCCUACGCGUAAUGAAAGUGAACGCAGGUGAGAGCUUCGGCGCAUCAUCGACCGAUCCUGAUGUUCUCGGAUGGAUUUGAGUAAGAGCAUACGGGGCCGGACCCGAAAGAAGGUGAACUAUGCCUGUAUAGGGUGAAGCCAGAGGAAACUCUGGUGGAGGCUCGCAGCGGUUCUGACGUGCAAAUCGAUCGUCAAAUAUGGGCAUGGGCGCGAAAGACUAAU
rnacentral:rRNA from 1 species